rnacentral:rRNA from 1 species
GGUCUGGCUGGCGGGUCCGCCUCACCGCGUGCACUUGUCCGGCCGGGCCUUUCCUUCUGGAGAACCUCAUGCCCUUCACUGGGCGUGUUGGGGAACCAGGACUUUUACUUUGAAAAAAUUAGAGUGUUCAAAGCAGGCCUUUGCUCGAAUAUGUUAGCAUGGAAUAAUAAAACAGGACGU